rnacentral:rRNA from 1 species
GACGAACGCUGGCGGCGUGCUUAACACAUGCAAGUCGAACGAAGUGGCGAACGGGUGACUAACGCGUAAUCAACCUGCCCUUCAGCGGGGGACAACAGUUGGAAACGACUGCUAAUACCGCAUACUGAAGGAGGGGAUUGCGUCUGAUUGGCUAGUUGGAGGGGUUACGGCCCACCAAGGCGAUGAUCAGUAUCCGGUCUGAGAGGAUGAACGGCCACAUUGGGACUGAGACACGGCCCAGACUCCUACGGGAGGCAGCAGUGGGGAAUCUUCCGCAAUGGACGAAAGUCUGACGGAGCAACGCCGCGUGAGUGAUGACGGCCUUCGGGUUGUAAAGCUCUGUUAAUCGGGACGCGGUACCGGAAUAGAAAGCCACGGCUAACUACGUGCCAGCAGCCGCGGUAAUAC